rnacentral:rRNA from 1 species
UACGUAGGGGGCGAGCGUUGUCCGGAGUUACUGGGCGUAAAGCGCUUGUAGGCGGUCCACCAAGUUUGGGGUGACAGUUGCCGACUUAAUCGGCAAAGUGCCUCAAAGACUGGCGGACUUGAGGGCCACAGAGGGACAUGGAACUCCAGGUGUAGUGGUGAAAUGCGUAGAUAUCUGGAAGAACACCAAAGGCGAAGGCAGUGUCCUGGGUGGUCGCUGACGCUGAGAGGCGAAAGCCAGGGGAGCGAUCCGG